rnacentral:rRNA from 1 species
AUUGAACGCUAGCGGGAUGCUUUACACAUGCAAGUCGAACGAGUGGGGGACGUGUGAGUAAUAUAGCGGAACGUGCCCAGUAGCGGGGGAUAACUACUAGACGGAGUGGCUAAUACCGCAUACUAUUGGGUGCGCAGAUAUCGGAUUAGAUAGUUGGUGGGGUAAAGGCUCACCAAGGAAACGAUCCGUAGCUGGUUUGAGAGGAUGACCAGCCACACUGGGACUGAGACACGGCCCAGACUCCUACGGGAGGCAGCAGUGGGGAAUUUUGGACAAUGGGGGAAACCCUGAUCCAGCCAUCCCGCGUGUAUGAGAAGGCCUUCGGGUUGUAAAGUACUUUUGGCAGAGAAGCGGUAUCUGCAGAAUAAGCACCGGCUAACUACGUGCCAGCAGCCGCGGUAAUUC